rnacentral:rRNA from 1 species
GACGAACGCUGGCGGCGUGCUUAACACAUGCAAGUCGAACGGAAAGGCCCUGCUUUUGUGGUGUGCUCGAGUGGCGAACGGGUGAGUAACACGUGAGUAACCUGCCCUUGACUUUGGGAUAACUUCAGGAAACUGGGGCUAAUACCGGAUAGGAGCUCCUGCUGCAUGGUGGGGGAUGGAAAGUUUCGGCGGUUGGGGAUGGACUCGCGGCUUAUCAGCUUGUUGGUUGGGUAGUGGCUUACCAAGGCUUUGACGGGUAGCCGGCCUGAGAGGGUGACCGGCCACAUUGGGACUGAGAUACGGCCCAGACUCAUCCGGGAGGCAGCAGUGGGGAAUAUUGCACAAUGGUCGGAAGCCUGAUGCAGCAACGCCGCGUGCGGGAUGACGGCCUUCGGGUUGUAAACCGCUUUCGCCUGUGACGAAGCGUGAGUGACGGUAAUGGGUAAAGAAGCACCGGCUAACUACGUG